UGAACGCUGGCGGCAGGCCUAACACAUGCAAGUCGAACGGUAACAGGAAGCAGCUUGCUGCUUUGCUGACGAGUGGCGGACGGGUGAGUAAUGUCUGGGAAACUGCCUGAUGGAGGGGGAUAACUACUGGAAACGGUAGCUAAUACCGCAUAACGUCGCAAGACCAAAGAGGGGGACCUUCGGGCCUCUUGCCAUCGGAUGUGCCCAGAUGGGAUUAGCUAGUAGGUGGGGUAACGGCUCACCUAGGCGACGAUCCCUAGCUGGUCUGAGAGGAUGACCAGCCACACUGGAACUGAGACACGGUCCAGACUCCUACGGGAGGCAGCAGUGGGGAAUAUUGCACAAUGGGCGCAAGCCUGAUGCAGCCAUGCCGCGUGUAUGAAGAAGGCCUUCGGGUUGUAAAGUACUUUCAGCGGGGAGGAAGGGUGUAAAGUUAAUACCUUUGCUCAUUGACGUUACCCGCAGAAGAAGCACCGGCUAACUCCGUGCCAGCAGCCGCGGUAAUACGGAGGGUGCAAGCGUUAAUCGGAAUUACUGGGCGUAAAGCGCACGCAGGCGGUUUGUUAAGUCAGAUGUGAAAUCCCCGGGCUCAACCUGGGAACUGCAUCUGAUACUGGCAAGCUUGAGUCUCGUAGAGGGGGGGUAGAAUUCCAGGUGUAGCGGUGAAAUGCGUAGAGAUCUGGAGGAAUACCGGUGGCGAAGGCGGCCCCCUGGACGAAGACUGACGCUCAGGUGCGAAAGCGUGGGGAGCAAACAGGAUUAGAUACCCUGGCAGUCCACGCCGUAAACGAUGUCGACUUGGAGGUUGUGCCCUUGAGGCGUGGCUUCCGGAGCUAACGCGUUAAGUCGACCGCCUGGGGAGUACGGCCGCAAGGUUAAAACUCAAAUGAAUUGACGGGGGCCCGCACAAGCGGUGGAGCAUGUGGUUUAAUUCGAUGCAACGCGAAGAACCUUACCUGGUCUUGACAUCCACGGAAGUUUUCAGAGAUGAGAAUGUGCCUUCGGGAACCGUGAGACAGGUGCUGCAUGGCUGUCGUCAGCUCGUGUUGUGAAAUGUUGGGUUAAGUCCCGCAACGAGCGCAACCCUUAUCCUUUGUUGCCAGCGGUCCGGCCGGGAACUCAAAGGAGACUGCCAGUGAUAAACUGGAGGAAGGUGGGGAUGACGUCAAGUCAUCAUGGCCCUUACGACCAGGGCUACACACGUGCUACAAUGGCGCAUACAAAGAGAAGCGACCUCGCGAGAGCAAGCGGACCUCAUAAAGUGCGUCGUAGUCCGGAUUGGAGUCUGCAACUCGACUCCAUGAAGUCGGAAUCGCUAGUAAUCGUGGAUCAGAAUGCCACGGUGAAUACGUUCCCGGGCCUUGUACACACCGCCCGUCACACCAUGGGAGUGGGUUGCAAAAGAAGUAGGUAGCUUAACCUUCGGGAGGGCGCUUACCACUUUGUGAUUCAUGACUGGGGUGAA
rnacentral:rRNA from 1 species